AGCGGGGGAUAACUAUUGGAAACGAUAGCUAAUACCGCAUGACAAUGGAGGACCCAUGUCUUUCAUUUAAAAGGUGCAACUGCAUCACUAUGAGAUGGACCUGCGUUGUAUUAGCUAGUUGGUGAGGUAACGGCUCACCAAGGCGACGAUACAUAGCCGACCUGAGAGGGUGAACGGCCACACUGGGACUGAGACACGGCCCAGACUCCUACGGGAGGCAGCAGUAGGGAAUCUUCGGCAAUGGACGGAAGUCUGACCGAGCAACGCCGCGUGAGUGAAGAAGGUUUUCGGAUCGUAAAGCUCUGUUGUUAGAGAAGAAUGAUGGUGGGAGUGGAAAAUCCACCAUGUGACGGUAACUAACCAGAAAGGGACGGCUAACUACGUGCCAGCAGCCGCGGUAAUACGUAGGUCCCGAGCGUUGUCCGGAUUUAUUGGGCGUAAAGCGAGCGCAGGCGGUUCUUUAAGUCUGAAGUUAAAGGCAGUGGCUCAACCACUGUACGCUUUGGAAACUGGAGAACUUGAGUGCAGAAGGGGAGAGUGGAAUUCCAUGUGUAGCGGUGAAAUGCGUA
rnacentral:rRNA from 1 species